rnacentral:ncRNA from 1 species
AAUAAGACGAGAGACCUAUGGAGCUUUAUUACUAAUGCAAUCAAAACUAUACAAAUCCUACGGGAUUAAAUUACCUGCACCUGAUUAAAAUUUUGGUUGGGGUGCUCGGAGCAUAACCCAGCCUCCGAACCACCUAUGCUAAGGCCACACCAGCCAAAGCGAAUCAAUAUGCACAACUGACCCAAUAACUUGACCAACGAAACAAGUUACCUAGGGAUACUAUGCAAUCUAUUCUAGAGUCCAUAUCGACCAAUAGGGUUUACGACCUCGAUGUUGGAUCAGGACAUCCUAAUGGUGCAGCAGGUAUCAAAGGUUCGUUUGUUCAACGAUUAAAGUCCCAUGUGAUCUGAGUUCAGACCGGAGCAAUCCAGGUCGGUUUCUGUCUAUU